rnacentral:rRNA from 1 species
UACGGAGGGGGCAAGCGUUGUUCGGAUUUACUGGGCGUAAAGGGCGCGUAGGCGGCAAUUCAAGUCAGCUGUGAAAUCUCCGGGCUUAACUCGGAACGGUCAGCUGAUACUGCUUUGCUAGAGUGCAGAAGGGGCAAUCGGAAUUCUUGGUGUAGCGGUGAAAUGCGUAGAUAUCAAGAGGAACACCUGAGGUGAAGACGGGUUGCUGGGCUGACACUGACGCUGAGGCGCGAAAGCUAGGGUAGCAAACGGG